GUUCCUUUCUAGGGUUUCUGUUCGAGCCGCUUGAGCUCGACGCGCUUCUAGGGUUUCUUCGCGGCGGAGAGAGCGAGAGCGAGAGAGAGAGAGAGAGUGUGGAGGAAUUGGAGAUGCAGACGGAGGCGAGGGUGGGAGUGGUGGUGGAGGGGGGAGGGCAGAGGUCGCUUAGUUCCGUGCAUGGCGGCACCCGGAACUACUCCACGGAGCAGCAGGAGCUGCAGCAAGGACCGCAGAUCGGGACGGUGCCUAAUCUAUUGGCCGGAGGGGUUGCCGGAGCCGUCAGCAAGACGUGCACGGCUCCCCUUGCUCGCCUCACUAUUCUCUUCCAGGUGCAAGGGAUGCACUCUGACGUUGCAACUUUGAGCAAGACUGGCAUUUGGCGUGAGGUUUACCGCAUACUCAAUGAAGAAGGUGUUAGAGCAUUCUGGAGAGGAAACAUGGUCACAAUCAUCCAUCGUUUACCCUAUUCAUCAAUCAGCUUUUAUGCUUAUGAGCACUACAAAAAUCUAUUGCGGAUGGUUCCUGGUCUUGAUAAGCGCCAAGACAAUGCAGGUGCUGAUGUUCUGUUGCGCUUGUUGGGUGGUGGUUUAGCAGGAAUAACAGCGGCAACUAUCACAUACCCAUUAGAUCUUGUGAGGACACGACUUGCAGCUCAGACAAAGCAUGUGUAUUAUAGAGGCAUGUCGCAUGCUCUUUACGCUAUAUGCAGGGAUGAAGGUGUGCGAGGACUAUAUAAGGGGCUUGGUGCUACAUUAUUGGGUGUUGGACCCAGCAUAGCAAUUAGCUUUUCUGUUUAUGACACUCUAAAGUCCCAUUGGAGAUCAGUAAGGCCUCAAGAUUCCCCUGUGCUGGUUAGCUUGGCUUGUGGAAGUCUUUCUGGGAUUGCAUCAUCAACAGCUACGUUCCCAUUAGAUCUUGUAAGACGACGGAAACAAUUAGAAGGAGCGGGUGGUAGAGCUUGUGUCUACAAUUCAGGCUUGCUUGGGACAUUUCAGCACAUAUUCCGCACUGAAGGGUUCCGUGGCUUAUACAGGGGUAUUUUGCCGGAGUACUACAAAGUUGUGCCCAGUGUUGGCAUUGUUUUUAUGACUUAUGAGACACUGAAGGCAUAUCUGUCAGGACCGGGCGCCAAUGACCAGUGCUAAGAUAUUUCUGAUACAUAUCAUUUUUAUAACAGGCAAUCUCUGAGAAAGAAUGUCCAUAAUUCGGUUUUCAGUAUAGACUGAGUAGGAAAAUUUUGUUGCAACUCCAAUGAAUCUCAUGGCGCUUGUUGUGGGCCACUGACAGUUUUUGAGUGGCUGGAAGAAACAUCCUCUUUAUAUCUUACAGAAGGAACAACUCCUGAAAAAAAAAAAUCAUUUGUUUAAAAUUUUAUAGUGAAUUCUAUAGGUUUAUUUUGAAUAGCUUGCUUCAUUGAAUUUUGAAAGAUGGCCUUUGGUUUCAAGCCUCAAUUGUUGU